rnacentral:rRNA from 1 species
GAUGAACGCUGGCGGCGUGCCUAAUACAUGCAAGUCGAGCGAACAGACGAGGGGCUUGCUCCUCUGACGUUAGCGGCGGACGGGUGAGUAACACGUGGAUAACCUACCUAUAAGACUGGGAUAACUUCGGGAAACCGGAGCUAAUACCGGAUAAUAUAUUGAACCGCAUGGUUCAAUAGUGAAAGACGGUUUUGCUGUCACUUAUAGAUGGAUCCGCGCCGCAUUAGCUAGUUGGUAAGGUAACGGCUUACCAAGGCGACGAUGCGUAGCCGACCUGAGAGGGUGAUCAGCCACACUGGAACUGAGACACGGUCCAGACUCCUACGGGAGGCAGCAGUAGGGAAUCUUCCGCAAUGGGCGAAAGCCUGACGGAGCAACGCCGCGUGAGUGAUGAAGGUCUUCGGAUCGUAAAACUCUGUUAUUAGGGAAGAACAAAUGUGUAAGUAACUAUGCACGUCUUGACGGUACCUAAUCAGAAAGCCACGGCUAACUACGUG